AUGUCGCUAUGGUGGAACGAGUGGCAGCUGCGCAUCCUCGUCUUAGCCAGCCUCAGCGCCCAAUACUUCCUCGUGUUAUCUGCACGCGCUCGUAAGUUUCAUAUCCCGCCAUGGCUCAAAGUCUCCCUUCGGCUGGCGCACCUCGGCAGAGACGCUCUGGCCAUCUUCGCCCUCGCCACGCUCUUCAACCGCCAAAAAGGUGGGCCGCGCUGCAGCUACGCGCGUGGCACCCGCGAUUUGGAGCUGCUAUGGGCGCCGGUCCUGGUGAUGCACCUCGGCGGACAAGUCGUCAUUACCAGCUACAAGAUUGAAGACAACGAGCAGUGGAGCCGCCACAUCCUAACGUCUCUAUCCAAGGUAACUGUCGCACUGUACGUGUUUUACAAGUCAUGGUUGUCAGACGACAAAAGGUUGCUGGCUGCAACAAUAUUGCUUUUCGUUAUGGUGGUUGUCAGAUGCUUCCAGAAGGCCCUGGAUCUUAGGGACAGUAGUUUUAAUGCCCUAAGAAAGGCCAGCUCGUUGCCCGAGUGGGUCACCCUCCGCAGAACCAAACUCAGACAAAAAAGAUUGUCUCGUUAUAACCUCAAUGGCGAAGGUCUUGAGAGAAAACAGGAAGAAGGGUUGAUUGGAAAAUAUGUACAAGAUGUAAAAGCUCUCGUGUCCAGGUGUGUUGAACCGCAUCUAGAACAAGAAGCUAGCAGAGCACACCCUCAGCUGGAAGCAGACUACCCACACUUGGCGAGACCAACAGUCAUCCCAAGGCUACCGUACCAGCUAUUCUUAGACUUUUCAUCUAAAUAUGUUCAUCGUCUUGAGAUCAUGAGACACUUCUGGUCGGUUGACAACGAAAAAGUCUAUCUGGCAAUAGAAGGCGCGUUGUCUGCUAUGACCAGUUUUCUCUACACCAAAGAUGAUAGCACAACCACCCUCAAAAAAGAUGAUAGCACAACCCGCCUUGAUUUCAAGAAGACUACAGUACUGCUCAUCCUUCGUCGGUACACACAUGUCCUUAUAACUUGUGCAGCGUUAAUUGCAGCCAUCUGCCUGGUACACACUGGCAGCCACAAAGAAGAUUAUAGCGGUGAAGAUACCUGGGUUACACUGGUGUUUCUGUACGGCACCCUUCUGCUGGAGCUCGUUUACUUGUGCGCAAAAUCAGCUUUCCGGGAAAAGUUCUCUGGCAAAAUUCUUCAACAUAAUCUUAUUGGAUUAGUAGCCCGUAACAGAUGUCACUCCAAGUUGACGAGGAUUGCGGCAUGGUUAGGAUGCAAGGAGUUGGUGGACGAAUACUUUUGGCACAUGAAGCCUAACUAUUCGUCGUGUAGGGAGAUUACAAAAUUGGUUCGUGGGCAUGUUCAAUCAGGUUGGGAGGACUACAUAACUGACUCCGGCUCUUACAAGAAGUUCAAUGAAACCAGGGGAGACUGGACGCUUGCCAGGGCCAGGUGUGGAUAUUCCGAACGACUGGAUUGGAGCAUACGGAGGCCAUUUGACGAGAGUGUUAUUCUCUGGCACCUGGCCACAGAUUUAUUAUGUGCUCACCUGGACACAUCUCCUGAUGAUCAAUGUGCCCCUCGGUGCAAAGAAAUAUCCAACUACAUGAUGCAUCUCUUGUUUGAAAAUCCUGAGAUGCUAAUGCCAGGCAGCAGAAAGAAUUUGUUAGCACGUGUCUGCGGCGAACUCGAGGACCUCCUCGAGAGGGAGCAUACCCGUCGGGACAAGGAAAUUACACACCGGGGUAUUUCUGAGUUUCUUAUCGACUUCUACCAUGAUACCGACCAUACCGAGGACAAUGGUAUUAUUGUCGGUGCUUGCCGGCUUGUUGCUCAAAUAUUAUAUAAUCAUAAUCAUGGAGACUCUGAUGAUGAUCAGACCAGGAUGUGGAAAGUGAUCCAAUGCGUGUGGGUGGAGAUGCUCUGCUUUUCUGCCGGCCGGUCCCGAGGAUACUUGCACGCGCAGACUCUUGGAACUGGUGUGGAGUACCUCUCCUAUAUCUGGGUCUUAUUGGCAUACACUGGGAUGGAGACACUGGCAGAUAAGCUUCAGGAAAGGGAGGUUUUUGUCGAUGCACGUGUCUGA
rnacentral:rRNA from 1 species